GUCAGCUGGUGGGCGGGUACGGGUAGGUUCGGCGACGAGCCUACCCGUGGAAACUCCACCACCGCUGCGGGGCCGCGGCGUCGUGAGACGCCGGGGGAGACUCCGGGCAACGGCACAGAAACGAUACCUCCCCUAGUCAAUGAGAAUGAGGUAAGCUGACCUUCGGCAACGAAGGGAAGGCUGCCGAGAGGCUAGGGGAUCGGGUGAAACGGCCGUCCCGCGGGGUUAGGGUCAAGCAGAGCCGAUGAAGACCCCGCACAGAGGCUCGGGUGGACCCUUAGACGGAUCCCGCCUAAAACAGAAGGUGGGUUAUGGCCAGCUGAC
rnacentral:RNase_P_RNA from 1 species